GAACAGAGCCUGGCACAAAGUAAACACCCGAUAGAUGUCCCUUGUGCAAUUAGCAGUUGAUGAAAUGAAAGUAUAGGUCACAGCUACAUAUAUAUUUUGUUGGAUGCUCAAGUCAGCAAAAAAUAUGUUAAACAUACCAGUGAGAAUAGUCAGGAAAACUUAAAAAGAACAAUGAUAAAAUGAAGACUUGCAUUUCCAGGCAUUACUAUCUUUUAUACCACCUAUCAGUACAAUCAGUGAAAUAAAAUGAGACUGUAGUAACAGUAAACAGAACAAUGGAACAGAAUAGAAACCUCUAAAAGCAACCCCAAACACACACAUGAAUUUAGUACUAGCAAGAUUGACAUUUGAAAUUUGGGAAGAAAAAUUGAGCCACCCAAUAAAUAGUAGUAAGACAAAUGGUGAGACAUUUGGAAAAGUCAUCAAAUCUGUUUUUUAUAAUUUAUACCAAACUAAGUUACAGGCGGAUAAAGGUUAAAUGUAAAAACAAAAUAAAAAUAUGAAAGGAUGAAAAGUAAGGAUAGAGUAUAAAGAUAACUAUAAUCAGCUAUCAAGGAAAGGAAAGACUUCACUUAAAAAUAAAGGAGAAGCCAUAAAGAAACAGCUAAAUAGACUUUAAUAUGUACAAUUAUUAAAAUUCUGUAUAUUAAAAAAUUAAAGAACGGGGGAAAAGUUGAAUAUGGGGUCAAGAGCAUUACUUGAUAAAGCUCAUUUAUAAAUCAGUUAGAAAAUAUGAUGCCCACUGAAACAGAGAAAUGGGUAAAGGACAUGAAAGGUAAAUUCCCAAAAGAUACUAAAUGACCAAAAUAAAAUAAGAAAUUUCAGUUAGAUUAAUAUUUGAAGGAAUGCAGUUCCCUUAAAAUGAGAUACUAUAUCUCUUUUAAUGAAUUUACAACUUUUAGUAAAUUAUAAUCCCCAGUAUUUGUGAGAGUUUGGGGAAUGGAUAUUUUCAAGUACUGUUAAUAGGAGUGUAUUUUGCUACAACAUUUCUUCAGAGUAUUUUAGUGGUGUGUCAAAAGUCUUAAAAAUGCUUAUCUUUAAAGAUACUGAACAUUUCUCAUAGUAGGAAAAAACAGAACAAAACAAAGGAUUGGAUAAAUAGAUUGGAUUUUCCAUAUGAAGGAAUAAUAUACAGUCACUAAAAACAAUGUGUUUGGCAGGGAGUGGUGGCUCAUGCCUGUAAUCCCUGCACUUUGGACUUUGGGGAGGCCAAAGCAGGAGGAGAGCUUUAGGCCAGGAGUUCAAGACCAACCUAGGCAACACAGUGAGACCCCCAUCUCUACCAAAAAAAAAAAAAAAAAAAAGAAAGUCAGACAUGGUGGUGCACACACGUAGUCUCAGAUACUUGGGAGGCUGAGGCAGAAGGAUUUCUUAAGCCCAGGAGUUUGAUGCUAGAGUGAGCCGUGGUCAUGCCAAUGCACUCCAGCCUGGGUGGCAGUGCUAGACGCUGCCUCUAAAAAAAAAGUUUGUUUAAUAACAUGGAAAACUUAACAGAAUAUACGAUGUUAAAAAAAAACUGGCUUAUAAAACAGUUCAAUACCAACAUUUUAAAAUAUGAAUUCUUAAAGGGAUGAAAAAAUAUGUUUCAAAGUCUUAGCAGCUGCUUAUUUCUAAGUGGUGAAAUUGAGGAUUAUUUUGAUUUUCUUCUUUUUCUCUUUUUUUUUUUUUUACAGAGGGCAUGUAUUAUCAUUUUAGUUAAAAUUUUAAUUGAGACAAUUAUAGAUUUACAUGUAAUUGUAAAAAAUAAUAGAGAGAUCUCUGUACCCAUUAUCUGGGUUCCCCCAAUGGUUAUAUCUUGCAAAACUAUACUAUGAUAUCACAACCAAGAUAUUGGCAUUGAUACAAUCUGUAGAUCUUAUUCAGAUUUCCCAAGUUUUGCUUGUACUCAUUUGCAUAUGGGUGUGUGUUUAGUUCUAUACAAUUUUAUCACAUCUGUAGGUUUGGUUAUUCACCAGCAUAAGCAAGAUACGGAGCAGUUCCUUUACCAUAAGAAAGAUCUCUCCUGUUACCUUUAUACCCUCACCUACAUUCCACUUUUUUAAAUUUUUAAUUUUUAUGGAUACAUAUUAAUAGAAGUUAUAUGUAUUUAUGGGGUACAUGAGAUAUUUUGCAACAGGCAUACAAUGCAUAAUAAUCACCUCAGGGUAAAUGGAAUAUCCAUCACCAAACACUUAUCAUUUCUUUGUGCUACAAUCAUUCUAAUUAUAUCCUUUUAGUUAUUUAAACAUGUACAGUAAAUUAUUGUUGACUGUAAUCACUCUGUUGUGUUAUCAAAUAGUAGCUCUUAUUCAUUCCAUCUAACUAUAUUUUUAUACUCAUUAACCAUCCUGACUUUCCCCACCGCCCACAAUCGUUCCCAGCCUCUAGUAACCAUCAUUCUACUCUCUAUCUCCAUGGGUUCAGGUGUUUUAAUUUUUAACUCCUACAAAUGAGAGAUAACAUGUGAAGUUUGUCUUUCUGCGCCUGGCUUAUUUCACUUAACAUAAUUACCUCCAGUUCCAUCCAUGUUGUUGCAAAUGACAGGAUCUCAUUAUUUUUUAUGGCUGAAUAGUACUCCAUUGUGUAUAUGUACCAUAUUUUCUUUAUCUGUACGCCUGUUAUUGAACACUUAGAUUGCUUCCAAAUCUUGGCUAUUGUGAAUAGUGCUGCAAUAGACAUGGAAGUUUAUUUCUUCAGACGUUUCUUCAAUAUACUGAUUUCCUUUCUUGUGGAUGUAUACCUAGCAGUGGGAUUGCUGAAUCACAUGGUAGUUCUGUGAGUUAUUGAGGAAACACCGUACUGUUCUCCAUAGUGGUUAUACUAAUUUACAUUGCCACCAACAGUGUAUGAGGGUUCCUUUUUCCCCACAUCCUCCCCAGCAUUCAUUAUUGCCUGUAUUUUGGAUAAAAGCCACCUUUUAACUGGGGCGAGAUGAUACCUCAUUGUAGUUUUGAUUUACAUUUCUCUGAUGAUCAAUAAUGUUGAGCAUUUUUCAUAUACCUGUUUGCCAUUUGUAUGCCUUCUUUUGAGAAAUGUCUUUUCGAGCUUUUGCGUAUUUUUAUCACUUUUAGAUUAUUACAACAUUUUUUCCUAUUGAGGUGUUUGAACUCCUUACAUAAUCUGGGUAUUAAUCCUUUGCGAAAUGAAGGGAUAAAUAUUUGUUUGCAGAUAUUUCAUCCCAUUCUGUGGGUUGUCUCUUUGUUGAUUGUUUUCUUUGCUAUGCAAAAGCUUUUUAACUUGAUGUGAUCCCAUUUGUCCAUUUUUGCUUUGGUUGCCUGGGCUGGUGGGAUAUUACUCAAGAAAUCUUUGCCAAGACCAAUGUCCUGGAGAGUUUCCCUGAAAUUCUCUUUUAGUAGUUUCAUAGCUUGAGGUUUUAGAUUUGUCUUUAAUCCAUUUUGAUUUGAUUUUUGUAUAUGACAAGAGACAGGAGUCUAUUUUCCUUCUUCUGCAUAAGGAUAUCCAGUUUCCCAGCACCAUUUAUUUAUUUUUAGUAGAGGCAGGGUUUCACCAUGUUGGCCAGGCUGGUCACAAACUCCUGACCUCAGGUGAUCCUCCCGCCUUGGCCUCCCAAAGUGCUGGGAUUACAGGCGUAAGCCACCAUGCCCAGCCUAGAUGAUUUCUUACUGCUCAUUAACAUCCUCUUCUUUCAGAUUGAAGAACUGUUAGCAUUUCUUAUAGGAUAGGUCUAGUGUUCAUGAAAUCCCUCAGCUUUUGUUUGUCUCAGAAAGUCUUUAUUUCUCCUUCAUGUUCAAAGAAUACUUUUACUGGAUAUACUAUUCUAAAAUAAAAUAUUUUUCCCUUGAGAACUUUAAAUUUGUCAUGCCAUGCCAUUCUCUCCUGGCCUGUAGGGUUCCCACUGAGAAGUCUGCUGUCACACAUAUUGGAGCUCCUUUGUAUGUUAUUGUUUCUUUUCUCUUGCUGUUUUUGGGAUUCUUUCUUUAUUGUUGGCUUUUGGGAGUUUGAUUAUUAAAUGUCUUGAGGUAGUCUUAUUUGGGUCAAAUCUUCUUGGUGUUCUAUAACAUUAUUGUACUUGAAUAUUGAUAUAUUUCCCUAGGUUUGGAAAGUUCUCUGUUACUAUCCUUUUGUAUGGACUUUCUACCCCUUUCUCUCUCUCUACCUCCCCUUUCAAGCCAAUAACUCUUAGAUUUGCCCUUUUGAGGCUAUUUUCUAGAUCUCGUAAGCACGCUUCAUUCUCUGUUAUUCCUUUUUCUUUUGUCUCCUCUGACUGUGUAUUUUGUUUCUUUUUUUUUUCCUUUAAACUUAUUUUUGAGAUGAGAUCUUGCUCUGCCACCUAGGAUAGAGAGCAAUGGUACAAUCAUAGCUCACUGUAACCUCAAACUCCUAGACCCAAAUGAUCCUCCCACUUCAGCCUCCCAAGUAGCUAGAACUAUGAGCAUGUGUUGCAAUACUCAGAUAAUUUUUAAAUGUUUUUGUAAAGGUGGGGCCUCACUAUGCUGCCCAGGCUGAUCUCAAACUUCUGGCCUCAAGCAAUACUCUUGCCUUGGCCUCCCAAAGAAUUGGGAUUACAGGCAUGAGCCACUGUGCCUGGCCUGACUGUGUAUUUUCAAGUACCCCAUCUUCCAGUUCACCAAUUAUUUCUUCAGUUUGAUCAAUUCUGUUGAGAGACUCUGAUGUAUUCUUCAAUAUGUCAAUUGCAUUUUUUAGCUCCAGAAUUUCUGCCUGACCUUUAAAUUUCAUUUCAAUGUCUUUGUUAAAUGUAUGUGAUAGGAUUCUGAAUUCCUUCUCUGUGUUAUUUUGAAUUUUUUGAGCUCCCUCAAAACAGCUAUUUUGAAUUCUCUAUCUGAAAGAUCACAUAUCUCUGUCACUCUAGGAUUGGUCAUUGGUGCCUUAUUUAGUUCAUCUGGUGAGGUCAUGUCUUCCUGGAUGGUCUUUAUGCUUCUUGAUGUUUGUCAAUGUUUGGGCAUUGAGAAGUUAGGCAUUUAUUAUAGUCUUCACAGUCUGGGCUUGAUCGUACCUGUUCUUGGAAAGGCUCUCCAAGUAUUCAAAGGGAAUUGACUACUGUGAUGUAAGUCUUUGGUCACUGCAACUGUAUCUGCAUUAGGGGCCCCCACCAAGCCCAGUAAAGUUGUGACUCUUGCAGUGUUAUAGAGGUACUGCCUUGGUGGUCUUGGGUUAGAGCUGAGAGAAUUCCCCAGAUUACUAGGCAGAGACUCUUGCUCUUUUCCCUUACUUUCCCCCAAACAAAUGGAGUCUCUCUCUGUGUCUGUGCUGAGCUUCCUGGAGCUAGGAGAGGGGUGACACAAGCCCCCUGUGACCACUGCCACUGGGACCAUAUUGGGUCAGAUCUGAAGCCAGCAUAGCACUAGGUCUUACCCAACACCUGCAGCAUCCACUGCCUGGCUGCUGCCGAUGUUCACUCAGGGCUUACGAGCUCUUCAAUCAGCAGGUGGUGAGUCCAGCCAGGUAUGUGUCCUUGCUUUCAGGUCAGUGAGCACCCACCCUCUAGCCUAGGGUGGGCCCAGACAUGCCAUUUAGGAGCCACGGCAUGGAGCCAGGAACCUUGGAAUUUACUUGGUGCUUUAUCCUAUCGCAGCCAAACUGGCAUCUAAGCCAUAAGACAAAGUCUUUCACAUGCCUUCCUCUCCUUUCUUCAACCAGAAGGUGCCUCUGAUGAGUACUGCCUGGCUACCAUCAAUAUUCACUCAAGGCCCAAGGGCUCUUUGGUCAGCUUGUGAUGAAUGCUGCCAGCCGGGGUCUCUUACUUCAGGGCAUUGGGCCACCCUCUGGCCCAAGGCAGGUGCGGAAAUGCCGUCCAGGAGCCAAGGCCUAGAAUCUGGGACCCCAGGAGCCUGCCUGGUGCUCUAGUCCAGUGUGGUCAAGCUGGUACCCAAGCUGCUAGACAAAGUGCCCUUUGUUAUUUCCUCUCCUUUUCUCAGGCAGAAUGGGUCUGUCCCUGUGACCACCACAC
rnacentral:lncRNA from 10 species